rnacentral:rRNA from 1 species
GAUGAACGCUGGCGGCGUGCCUAAUACAUGCAAGUCAAACGAAACUUCUUUAUCACCGAGUGCUUGCACUCACCGAUAAAGAGUUGAGUGGCGAACGGGUGAGUAACACGUGGGCAACCUGCCCAAAAGAGGGGGAUAACACUUGGAAACAGGUGCUAAUACCGCAUAACCAUAGUUACCGCAUGGUAACUAUGUAAAAGGUGGCUAUACUACCGCUUUUGGAUGGGCCCGCGGCGCAUUAGCUAGUUGGUAGGGUAAAGGCUUACCAAGGCAAUGAUGCGUAGCCGAAUUGAGAGGUUGAUCGGCCACAUUGGGACUGAGACACGGCCCAAACUCCUACGGGAGGCAGCAGUAGGGAAUCUUCCACAAUGGGCGAAAGCCUGAUGGAGCAACGCCGCGUGGGUGAAGAAGGUCUUCGGAUCGUAAAACCCUGUUGUUAGAGAAGAAAGUGCGUGAGAGUAACUGUUCACGUUUCGACGGUAUCUAACCAGAAAGCCACGGCUAACUACGUG